AUACGGAGGGUGCAAGCGUUAUCCGGAAUCAUUGGGUUUAAAGGGUCCGUAGGCGGACUAUUAAGUCAGAGGUGAAAUCCCACAGCUCGACUGUGGAACUGCCUUUGAUACUGGUAGUCUUGAGUUAUAUGGAAGUAGAUAGAAUGUGUAGUGUAGCGGUGAAAUGCAUAGAUAGUACACAGAAUACCGAUUGCGAAGGCAGUCUACUACGUAUAUACUGACGCUAAGGGACGAAAGCGUGGGGAGCGAACAGGAUUAGAAACCCUAGUAGUCC
rnacentral:rRNA from 1 species